GGAGGGAGGGAGGGAAAGGGGGAGGGCUAGGGAGAGAGCGCCCAGCUCUCUCAACACUGAAAACGGGAGGAGUGGGUACGACCAUACUUGGCCGAAUGCACCACAUCCCGUCCGAUUUGU
rnacentral:rRNA from 1 species